rnacentral:lncRNA from 1 species
AUGCUGAUGGGCCUUCCAGAGGACGUGGCUGUAGGUGUAGAUGAUGCCAGAGAAGAGGACAGCAAUGAACAGGAGCCAGCCCAGCAGGUAGUCAUUGGAGAUCAAUGGGAAAAGUUCAGAGCAGAGACUGGGACAGCAGCUCCAUCCCAUGAGCGGCGGGUAGGAGACGAGCGCCGAGAGGACCCACAGGACGCCCAGGGCCGCCAGUGCCCUCCCACGGGUGAGCAGAUCUCUGUAGGUUUGUGGGUGGCGCAGACAGAGGUAGCGGUCCACGGCAGUCAGCAGCAGGCUGCCCACAGAGGCUGUGAAGGUCAUGGUCACGCUGCAGAUCUGCAGCAGGAAGACAACCUGGGAGUCCACACCACUGAAGACGUGGAAAUUGACAAAGCUACAGACAAAGAUCGCACUGGCGAGGAGGUCGGCUCCAGCCAAGCUGCCGAUGAACAGAAGGCCUGACAGUAUCUGUGUGGGACCCAGGUGAAGUUGCCAGCACUCAGCCGUGCGGGUGUGAUUGGCUCAGUCACGCUAGACAGAAGCUUUGCCACAUCUACUGAACUUGAAGGUGUUCCCGCCACCCUUGGGCAUUUUAGUUUCACUCCUGGGAAGGUGUUCCUGGCAAUGUCGUGCCAAGGGCCUGGGAGACAGGAGCCCUGCCCCAUUCAACUAGACACCUGGAGACAUGGACAGGAGUGUGCAUGACAGCAUUUUUGAAAUUAAAACAAAAUGAAAUAAUGUAAAUGUCCAUCAGCUGAGAAAGGGAUAAAUACAUUGUAUGGCCGUAUAAGAGACUGCUGUGAAGCAGUGCAAAUGACCUGGCAUGACACAUGAUAGCAGGAUAAAUUUUUUUUUCAGUACUGGGGAUUGAAUCCAGAGCCUUUGCACUGAGCUACAUUCCCAGCUCUUACUUUUUAGUUUGAGACAAGGUCUUGCUAAGUUGCCCAGGCUGGGCUUGAACUUGUGAUCUUCCUGUGUCAGCCUCCAAGAGUGCUGGGAAUACAGGCGUGUGCCACCAUGCCUGCUUAGAAUAAUUCUUCCCUCCCCCAGAAUUGAGGGUCAAAUCCAGAGAGGAAGGGUUGAGGGACCAGAGAUUGACCCCAAGGCCACACUUCUAUGACCUGCACAUGCUAGGCAAGCAGCCUGCCACUGAGCUACACCCCAGCCCAGUGGAAAUCUUGGAAACCCCAUAAUGAGCCCAAAGCCAGAUCCCUUAGGA